ACACCUCGCCAUUCACUAUUACCACAAGGCUCUCAGCUUCCCUCCUCUUACACUAGAGGGUAUUGCGGAUGACCAGGUAGACCUGCGUAGAGAGAUAGCCUUCAACCUGUCAAUCAUCUACCAGGCCAGUGGAAACACUGAGAUGGUACGACACCUCAUCAACACAUACUUCACUGUAUAAUGACCUAUCAGGUCCUCUAUACUGAACUGUAUAAUGACCUAUCAGGUCCUCUAUACUGAACUGUAUAAUGACCUAUCAGGUCCUCUAUACUGAACUGUAUAAUGACCUAUCAGGUCCUCUAUACUGAACUGUAUAAUGACCUAUCAGGUCCUCUAUACUGAACUGUAUAAUGACCUAUCAGGUCCUCUAUACUGAACUGUAUAAUGACCUAUCAGGUCCUCUAUACUGAACUGUAUAAUGACCUAUCAGGUCCUCUAUACUGAACUGUAUAAUGACCUAUCAGGUCCUC